rnacentral:miRNA from 1 species
UUAAAUAAUGGAUUGGCUGCAAAGUUCGUUUGGGUUUUUCCAUUAAAAACUCGAACAAACUCUUGGGCCAACCCAAUAUAAGAGUUA